CCGUUCCUGUACGAUCACUGAAGUUAAGCGAUGCCGAGCCUGGUCAAUACCUAGAUGGGUGACCACAUGGGAAUACCACGUGCUGUAAG